rnacentral:lncRNA from 1 species
UGUGAUUUCUUGUUUAUUGGGUGUUCAUGCUUUUGUACAUUUAUUUACUUACUUGCUUGCAUUCAUCUGUUGUAUCUGUUGGAUCUGUUUGUUUGUUUGUUGGGAUGGGGUGUUCUACGAGAGAUAAGCCCAUUACCCAGGCUUGAGUGUACACACAGGUUUUAGAGUGGAUGAUCAUGAGGCUUGCGUGGCAUGUUGCUACGUUAAGUCGUUCGUGAAGAACCACACCCAGACGAGGUUUC